CUGAAAACCCUCAACAUCUUUCUGCAAACAUUUUGCAGAAAGACAUUUUCUUUUAAAGCAUGAUAGUGGCAGCAGCGUGAUCUCGUGAUACCCUGAUCUAGUCUUUUCUAUCAAUAAACGGCACAUUAUGGAAAGCUGAACUGCUGGUGCAGUUUCAAGAGCUUCCUACACAUCAUACAAUGGCUAUGAAUGUCUCACUGCAGUCAUGUUUGUUGAUGAUUUUUCUAAUCUGUGCAGCACACAGUGAUGCACAGACUGCAUCAGAAGAUCGUAAUGACUAAAACCGCCACUAAGCUCGCUAAGAUACCAAGAUGGAGCAUUCAGCAACAUACAGUCAGGCCCAUAUGACUGUAUGGGCUCCAGACUUCAGGCAGUCAUUGACUGCAAAGGAUUUUCAUCCAAGUAUUAAAUUAUGGUUAUAUUUACAAUUAUGUCACUUUGUCCAAAUACCUUUGAGCCCCUGAAAAUGGAAGUACUUUGUUGAAAAUGGCUGUAAUUUCUAAAUGGUAAAUGUCAUAUUUUUGUGGAACCUCUUCAAAUAAAGCUGAAAGUCUACACUUUGA